UACGAAGGGGGCUAGCGUUGUUCGGAUUUACUGGCGUAAAGCGCACGUAGGCGGAUCGUUAAGUCGGGGGGUGAAAUCCUGGAGCUCAACUCCAGAACUGCCUUCGAUACUGGCGAUCUCGAGUCCGGAAGAGGUGAGUGGAACUCCUAGUGUAGAGGUGGAAUUCGUAGAUAUUAGGAAGAACACCAGUGGCGAAGGCGGCUCACUGGUCCGGUACUGACGCUGAGGUGCGAAAGCGUGGGGAGCAAACAGG
rnacentral:rRNA from 1 species